rnacentral:rRNA from 1 species
CCUACGGGUGGCAGCAGUGAGGAAUAUUGGUCAAUGGGCGGGAGCCUGAACCAGCCAAGCCGCGUGAGGGAAGAAGGUACAGCGUAUCGUAAACCUCUUCUGCCAGGGAACAAAGGCGGGGACUAGUCCCCGGAUGAGGGUACCUGAAGAAAAAGCAUCGGCUAACUCCGCGCCAGCAGCCGCGGUAAUACGGAGGAUGAGAGCGUUAUCCGGAUUUAUUGGGUGUAAAGGGUGCGCAGGCGGCCUGUUAAGUCAGAGGGAAAAGCCCGGGGCUAAACCCCGGGGAGCCGUUGGAACUGGGGGGCUGGAGUUGGAGAGAAGUACGCGGAAUGCGCGGUGUAGCGGUGAAAUGCGUAGAGAUCGCGAAGAACCCCGAUUGCGAAGGCAGCGUGCCGGCUCCACACUGACGCUGAGGCACGAAAGCGUGGGUAUCGAACAGGAUUAGAUACCCCAGUAGUC